AAGGUAUGGUAAGGGCAUUUUCUAAGCAUCUCCUUGAAUAUUUCCCAACUCUCAUAAAAAGAUUCUCCUUCUAACUGAAUAAAAUAAAUAAUAUCAUUUCUAGGUUU